CCUACGGGAGGCAGCAGUAGGGAAUUUUCGUCAAUGGGGGGAACCCUGAACGAGCAAUGCCGCGUGAGUGAAGAAGGCCUUCGGGUCGUAAAGCUCUGUUGUAAGAGAAAUACGGUCAUUAUAGGGAAUGAUAAUGAAGUGAUUGUAUCUUACCAGAACGCCACGGCUAACUACGUGCCAGCAGCCGCGGUAAUACGUAGGUGGCAAGCGUUAUCGGGAAUGAUUGGGCGUAAAGGUUGCGCAGGGGGUCCAGAAAGUCUGUAGGAAAGGGCAUUGGCGCAACCAAUGUAUGCAGUGGAAACUGGUGGACUAGAGUGCAGGAGAGGGAAGUGGAAUUCCAGGUGUAGCGGUAAAAUGCGUAGAUAUAUGGAGGAACACCGGUGGCGAAGGCGGCUGCCUGGCCUGUAACUGACGCUGAGGCACGAAAGCGUGGGGAGCAAAUAGGAUUAGAUACCCGGGUAGUC
rnacentral:rRNA from 1 species